GAAUAGUAACUAGCCUCAAAUUGAGACUUUAAGGUUAGGUUCCAGCUCUCAAGUAAAUGCUGAAGAAAUUAUUGAUAUUAUUUCUUUUGUGUGAAAUAGUAGUUAGCAAGAAAUUUUGACAUUUCAUAUCGCACCGUGAAUGUUGAAAAGUAAAAGAAGAAGAGUGUGAAAAUUAAUCAAACGUAAAAGAUAUUUGAGGAAAGCAAUUGGUGGUCAAGUGAAAAACUAAUAAAACGGAAUAGAAAUUUGAGCAGGAGUAAUUGUGUAUGUGUAUAAAAAAGCAAAGAGUUAUUCAAACGUAAAAGAUAUUAGAGCAAAGCAAUUGGUGGUCAAGUGAAAAACUAAUAAAACGGAAUAGAAAUUUGAGCAGGAGUAAUUGUGUAUGUGUAUAAAAAAGCAAAGAGUUAUUCAAACGUAAAAGAUAUUAGAGCAAAGCAAUUGGUGGUCAUUUUUAGUAUCCAUAAUGGAAGACGAAGAGUUAAAUCUUAUGAUGUUGUUGAACUGUGGCGCAUUCAUGACCAUCAUAGAGUUUGGAAAAACCAAAUUAAGACGCAGGAGACCCUGUCAUUGGGUGAGCCCUUAUCUCAAGGCGAGAAAUGUCAUCAUCAAAAUGUCUCAAAUAGAGAAUAGAGACUGGUUACAGAAUCCCGCUCAAAAUAUUGCCUCAAAUUUGAGACCUGAUAGUUAGCAGGUCACAAACCUAAAAAGAGCUCUUGUCUGCCAUUUUGAAUAUACUGAAUAGAGAUCAUCACAGAUAUUAAUCGAUUGUCGUAUUUUUAUAUUUUGUAAGCAACUCAAACA